GGGGAUUUAGCUCAGUGGUGGAGCGCUUGCCUAGCAAGCGCAAGGCCCUGGGUUCGUUCCCCAGCUCCG
rnacentral:tRNA from 1 species